UAUAGCUAACGUUAUGGGAGCUGUCACACUGCUGCUGACCUGCUAAUUAGCAAGCUAUCUAUAACCGUUGGCCAGGAAAUGGUAACUUAACGCCGGUAUUCUCUUAUUUUAGACAGAGACGGUUAUUUGUUUUAGGUCACUGUAGGUAAGGAAGCCACGAGGUCAGAGCGAGUUGAAUCCCAUGUCAGAAGUGUCCCCACGUUGACCUGCGCCUGACUGGCCUUCCAGCAAAAAGCCCCUGUGAAGCAAGAAGGCAAAGAGAGCUACGCUGAUCCGAAGGUGAAAAACAUCCUCCUCCUCUUCCCCCAGCUGAACAUCUGUCUCCGUGGUGUUGGCUGCAGCACCGACUCUGACACCUCCAGAUGGAGAGCCCGCUGGGAGCACUGAGGUAUUGCCUACAGAGAUGGCAGGGAUCACACCUCUGGAAUGAAGUCCCACACUUGUUUUCUGCACCUUCCUUUUUUCUGUUUUUGAAUCUGUCACUAUUCACCAUAUUGAGUGUCACCUCCCCAGUCCUUGGCCUUGUGACUCUUCUGAAAGCUUUUGGCUUUCAGUAAAGAAAAA